rnacentral:sRNA from 2 species
AUUGAUCUAUGGCUGAGUUCCGGCUUGACCCGGAAGCGGAGGACCCACUCAACAUGGGGGUGAAUUCUGCCUGCAGGCAGAAAGGGUGAACAUGAUCUCUCUUGCCACCCGAACCCGACAGCUAACUUCGUAAGCCAAUGCGAGAAGAGGG